UGGUAACUUUUCUGACACCUC
rnacentral:siRNA from 1 species